rnacentral:rRNA from 1 species
AUUGAACGCUGGCGGCAGGCUUAACACAUGCAAGUCGAGCGGGGUGAUGGUGCUUGCACUAUCACUUAGCGGCGGACGGGUGAGUAAUGCUUAGGAAUCUGCCUAUUAGUGGGGGACAACAUCUCGAAAGGGAUGCUAAUACCGCAUACGUCCUACGGGAGAAAGCAGGGGAUCACUUGUGACCUUGCGCUAAUAGAUGAGCCUAAGUCGGAUUAGCUAGUUGGUGGGGUAAAGGCCUACCAAGGCGACGAUCUGUAGCGGGUCCGAGAGGAUGAUCCGCCACACUGGGACUGAGACACGGCCCAGACUCCCACGGGAGGCAGCAGUGGGGAAUAUUGGACAAUGGGGGGAACCCUGAUCCAGCCAUGCCGCGUGUGUGAAGAAGGCCUUAUGGUUGUAAAGCACUUUAAGCGAGGAGGAGGCUCUUUUGGUUAAUACCCAAGAUGAGUGGACGUUACUCGCAGAAUAAGCACCGGCUAACUCUGUGCCAGCCGCCGCCGUAA